rnacentral:rRNA from 1 species
UACGUAGGGCGCAAGCGUUGUCCGGAAUUAUUGGGCGUAAAGAGCUCGUAGGCGGUUUGUCGCGUCUGCUGUGAAAGCCCGGGGCUCAACCCCGGGCUGACAGUGGGUACGGGCAGACUAGAGUGCAGUAGGGGAGACUGGAAUUCCUGGUGGUAGGCGGUGAAAUGCGCAGAUAUCAAGGAGGACACCGAUGGCGAAGGCAGGAUCUCUGGGCUGUUACUGACGCUGAGGAGCGAAAGCAUGGGGAGCGAACAGGAUUAGAUACCCGGUAGUCA